ensembl:snRNA U6 U6 spliceosomal RNA
GUGCUCACUUCGGUAAGACAUAUAUUAAAAUUGGAACAAUACAGAGAAGAUUAGCAUGGCCUCUGCACAAGGAUGACACACGAAUUCGUGAAGCAUUCCAUAUUUUU